rnacentral:rRNA from 1 species
CCUACGUGAGGCCGCAGUAGGGCAUAUUGCUCAAUGGGGGAAACCCUGAAGCCGCAACGCCGCGUGGAGGAUGAAGGUUUUCGGAUUGUAAACUCCUUUUGUUAGAGAAGAUAAUGACGGUAUCGAACGAAUAAGCACCGGCUCACCCCGUCCACGCAGCCGCGGUAAUACGGGGGGGGCAAGCGGUAAUUGUAAUCGCUGGUCGUAAAGAGCGCAGAGGCGGGAUAGCAAGUCAGAUGUGAAAUCCUAUGGCUUAACCAUAGAACUGCUUUUGAAACUGUUAUUCUAGAGUAUGGGAGAGGUAGGUGGAAUUCUUGGUGUAGGGGUAAAAUCCGUAGAGAUCAAGAGGAAUACUCAGUGCGAAGGCGACCUGCUAGAACAUAACUGCCGCUGAUGCGCGAAAGCGUGGGAGCAAACAGGAGUAGAUACCCUUGUAGUC